rnacentral:tRNA from 1 species
GGGGAUGUGCCUCAACGGUAGAGCGCUUGUCUGCCACACAAGAUGCUCUGGGUUCUUCAUCCUCA